ensembl:lincRNA
CUGUAGUCCCAGCUACUUGGGAAGCUGAGACCGGGGAAUCACUUAAACCUGGGAAGUGGAGGUUGCAGUGAGCUGAGAUCGUACCACUGCACUCAAGCCUGGGCAACAGAGCGAGACUCUGCCUCAAAAAAGAAAAGAAAAGAAAUGACAAUUCCAAUGAACAGAGGAUUAGGAAAAGGCUGAUGUUUGCCCCAGGGACUCCUGGGAAAUGUGGUUUUCUCCUAUCUCCAGCAAAGGCUGAUGGGAGGUAACCAAGCCCCCUUCUCUUCUUGCCUCAGGGACUGGAAUUGACAUCCCUGUCCUGCUCCUUCUGAUUGAUGGUGACGAGAAGAUGUUGAUGGUAUAUGGGCCUGGAUGCCUGGGUCUAAGGGGGAAGGAGGGUGGGGGCCAGGACUCCUGGGUCCUGAGUCUUAGGGAGGGUCUGGGAGUCUGCCCCCAGGUAGGGUGAAGAACCUGCCUUCUCUGACAUGACUCUCCCCUUUAUUCUGUAGCAAAUAGAGAAUGCCACCCAGGCUCGGCUCCCCUGUCUCCUGGUGGCUGGCUCUGGAGGGGCUGCAGACUGCCUGGCGGAGACCUUGGAAGACACUCUGGCCCCCGGGAGUGGGGGAGCCAGGCAAGGUGAAACCCAAGAUCGAAUCCGGCGUUUCUUUCCCAAAGGGGACCCUGAGGUCCUGCAGGCUCAGGUGCAGAGGAUUAUGACCCGGAAGGAGCUCCUGACAGUCUAUUCUUCUGAGGAUGGGGCUGAGGAAUUCGAGACCAUAGUUUUGAAGGCCCUCGUGAAGGCCUGUGGAAGCUCAGAGGCCUCAGCUUACCUGGACGAGCUGCGUUUGGCUGUGGCUUGGAACCGUGUGGACAUUGCCCAGAGUGAACUCUUUCGGGGGGACAUCCAGUGGCGGUCCUUCCAUCUCGAGGCCUCCCUCAUGGACGCCCUGCUGAAUGACCGGCCCGAGUUCGUGCGCUUGCUCAUCUCCCAUGGCCUCAGCCUGGGCCACUUCCUGACCCCGACGCGCCUGGCCCAACUCUAUAGCGCAGCGCCCCCCAACUCGCUCAUCCGCAACCUUUUGGACCAGGCGUCCCACAGCGCAGGCACCAAAGCCCCAGCCCUAAAAGGGGAAACUGCGGAGCCCCAGCCCCCUGAUGUGGGGCACGUGCUGAGGACGCUUCUGGGGAAGAUGUGUGCACCGAGAUACCCCGCCGGGGGCACCUCGGAACCUCACCCAGGCCAGGGCUUCGAGGAGAGUAUGUGUCUACUCCCGGACAAGGCCCCCUCAAAGCCCUCGCUGGACGCUGGCCUUGGGCAGGCCCCCUGGAGUGACCUGCUGCUUUGGGCACUGCUGCUGAACAGGGCACAGAUGGCCAUGUACUUCUGGGAGAAGGGCUCCAAUGCAGUUUCCUCAGCUCUUGGGGCCUGUUUGCUGCUCCGGGUGAUGGCACGCCUGGAGCCUGAUGCUGAGGAGGCAGUGCGGAGGAAAGACCUGGCAACCAAGUUUGAGGGGAUGGGCGUUGACCUCUAUGGUGAGUGCUAUCGCAGCAGUGAGGUAAGGGCUGCCUGCCUCCUCCUCCGUUGCUGCCCGCUCUGGGGGGAUGCCACUUGCCUCCAGCUGGCCAUGCAAGCUGAUGCCCGUGCCUUCCUUGCCCAGGAUGGAGUACAGGUGAGUAUCUGCAACACCAACAUCCCAAACAGUCUCCAAGCCGACUCUGGGAAGUAUGGGGAUGAGCCCCUGCCGUUGGGAACAGCCAUGGUCUGGACCAGCCCCUCUUCCUGGAGACAACCCAGAAAGUCUCUCUUCUCUCUCAGAAAGGCUGCUCUUCCCAUAAGAAGCCUCACUCCCUUCCACCAAAAGCCAACCUUCCCAUGGCAAAGCCCAUCUUCCUAAAAAGUUCCACUCCAGAUACUCUUGGUGACCCUAUCGGGAAGUUCUACUUUUAACCUAGGAAGUCCUUCCUGCUUCCACAGAAGAGCCCAUUUCUUUCAAAGUAAGUCCUUGCUCAUCCACAGGAAGUCCCGCCUCAUCCAUAGGAAGUAUUUUCCACUUCCUUUAGAGGUCCCUAGUUCCAGUUCUCAGCAAUUAGAAUGGUCUUACUGGACAAUCACCUAUAUAUAUUUUUGGACAUAAAGUUUGGCCUAGGAAAUCUCACCCUUUCUAUAGGAAAUCAUCUCCCUUGAGAAGCCCUACUUGCUCCCAAAUCUCUCCAAUUUCUCAGUAUUUUUAAUUUAACUCUGUAUUUUAAUGUUCUCAGUAUUUUUAAUUUAACUCCGACAGGGGCUCAGAGUCCCACCUCAGUACAGGAAGUUGUGCCCACCCAACAGGAAGUCCUAUCCUCAUCUGUUGGAAUGGUUUGGCUGACAUUUCAAACAGCUACCCAGAGUCCCUUGCUGUGGAUAGUGGUUAAACUCAUGGAUUCCAGCUCUACCACAUACAGGCUGUGUUUCUUUUUUUUUUCUGAGACGGAGCCUUGCUCUGUCACCAGGCUGAAGGGCAGUACCACAGUCUCAGCUCACUGCAACCACCACCUCCCCAGCAAGCGAUUCUCCUGCCUCAACCUUCAGAGUAGAUGGGACUACAAGCAUGUGCCACCACAUCCGACUAAUUUUUGUAUUUUUAGUAGAGAUGGGAUUUCACCAUGUUGGCCAGGAUGGUCUCGAUCUCCUGACUUCAUGAUCCGUCUGCCUCGGCCUCCCAAAGUGCUGGGAUUACAGGCAUGAGCCACGGCCCCCAGACAAGGCUGUGUUUCUUUGGGUCAUUUCCUUGACCUCUCUGUGCCUCAUGUGUGUCAAGGAGGAGAUAAUAGUAGACGCCCCCUUGUGUGUCAAGCGUUGAGUGAACGAAUCUGCAUAAAGUGCUUAGUUCUGUAUCUGCCAUAUCGUGUCAGUAGUGUUGGCUGUUCACUGCCAAACCCUGGCCCAGGUUGUCUUUGCCUUUCACCACCAUUCCCCUACCUCAAUAGUUGUAGCUGUGACAUAGAGCACUUGCUCUGUGCUCUGCAGCUGUGGUCCAACCCUUGCUGGGUGUCUAAGGGAGGGAGCUACAGGGGAGAUUUGGAUCCUAAUCCUGCCCACCCCCCACAGUCUCUGCUGACACAGAAGUGGUGGGGACACAUGGCCAGCACCACACCCAUCUGGGCCCUGGUUCUUGCCUUCUUUUGCCCCCCACUCAUCUACACCCACCUCAUCACCUUCAGGUCAGUCCCCUGGGGUGACAGUGGUGGGAAUGGGGGUGGAGUGCUCAGUUUCUCCUUCCCGCUUACUCCGCCCACCUUUCUUCCCUGGUCUGCCCAUUAUACUCCUUCCCUGGGAAUGGGACUCUCUCUCCCUCCACUAAGGGAGUAUUGUGGGAGGUGAGUUUUGGGGGGAUCCUCCCUAUGGUGUCUCUCGUAGCAGUUUCUCUGCCUUUCUGGUCCUGGCUCUCGAGGAAGCUCCCUUUUGGGUGACGUUAAGGGGCCACCUCUCUGUCUGUCUGCCACGUGUCCGGGGGAAGAGGUUUGAGUUUUUCUGGAGAACUCCUCUCCACCUUCUCUUCCCCUCAUUUCUCACUCUGUGCCUCCCUCCUUGCCAGGAAAUCAGUAGAGGAGCCCACACAGGGGGAUCUGGAGUUUGACAUGGAUAGUGCUGUUAAUGGGGAAGGGCCUGUCAGGUGAGUGGACCCCCCAGCACUGUGUGGGGUGGGGACACCCUGGGCGGCUUCAGGACAUGUGCCACCUCCAUGCUGUUAGUCCCCUCUUGAGUUGCUACAAAGGAAUACCUGAGGCUGGGUAAUUUAUAAAGAAAAGAGGUUUCAUUGGUUAAUGGUUCUGCAGGCUGUACAGGAAGCAUAGUGCUGGCAUCUGCUACUGGUGAGCCCUCAGGACACUUCUGCUCAUGGCAGAAAGUGAGGGAGGAAUCGUUAUAGCUAACGAUUCUAUAGAUCAACGAGAUAGAAAAUUAACAAGGAUAUUCAGGACUUGAACUCAGACCCAAAACAAGUAAACUUAAUAAACAUUUAUAGAACUCUCCACUUCAAAUACACAAAACAUACAUUACCACCUCACACCUAUUCCAAAAGUGACUACAUAAUUGAAAAUAAAUCACUCCUCAGCAAUUGCAUAGCAUUUC